rnacentral:rRNA from 1 species
GACAGAGGGGGCAAGCGUUGCUCGGAAUUACUGGGCGUAAAGGGCGCGUAGGCGGGAUGGCAAGCCGGUCGUGAAAUCCCUCGGCUCAACCGAGGAACGUCGAUCGAUACUGCUGUUCUUGAGGAUUGCAGAGGAGACUGGAAUUCCCGGUGUAGCGGUGAAAUGUGUAGAGAUCGGGAGGAACACCGGUGGCGAAGGCGGGUCUCUGGGCAAUUCCUGACGCUGAGGCGCGAAAGCGUGGGGAGCAAACGGG